UGCGUAGGCGGUCUUAUAAGUCAGUAGUGAAAUCUCUAGGCUCAACCUGGAACGUGCUAUUGAAACUGUAAGACUUGAGUACAGACGAGGCAGGCGGAAUGUGUUAUGUAGCGGUGAAAUGCGUAGAUAUAACACAGAACACCGAUAGCGAAGGCAGCUUGCCAGACUGUAACUGACGCUGAUGCACGAAAGCGUGGGUAGCGAACAGGAUUAGAUACCCUGGUAGUCC
rnacentral:rRNA from 1 species